UACGAAGGGGGCUAGCGUUGUUCGGAAUUACUGGGCGUAAAGCGCACGUAGGCGGCUUUCUAAGUCAGGGGUGGAAUCCUGGAGCUCAACUCCAGAACUGCCUUUGAUACUGGAGAGCUAGAGUCCGGAAGAGGUGAGUGGAACCGCGAGUGUAGAGGUGAAAUUCGUAGAUAUUCGCAAGAACACCAGUGGCGAAGGCGGCUCACUGGUCCGGUACUGACGCUGAGGUGCGAAAGCGUGGGGAGCAAACAGG
rnacentral:rRNA from 1 species